AUUGAACGCUGGCGGCAGGCUUAACGCAUGCAAGUCGAGCGGAGAUGAGGUGCUUGCACCUUAUCUUAGCGGCGGACGGGUGAGUAAUGCUUAGGAAUCUGCCUAUUAGUGGGGGACAACAUUCCGAAAGGAAUGCUAAUACCGCAUACGUCCUACGGGAGAAAGCAGGGGAUCUUCGGACCUCGCGCUAAUAGAUGAGCCUAAGUCGGAUUAGCUAGUUGGUGGGGUAAAGGCCUACCAAGGCGACGAUCUGUAGCAGGUCUGAGAGGAUGAUCCGCCACACUGGGACUGAGACACGGCCCAGACUCCUACGGGAGGCAGCAGUGGGGAAUAUUGGACAAUGGGGGGAACCCUGAUCCAGCCAUGCCGCGUGUGUGAAGAAGGCCUUAUGGUUGUAAAGCACUUUAAGCGAGGAGGAGGCUACUGAGACUAAUACUCUUGGAUAGUGGACGUUACUCGCAGAAUAAGCACCGGCUAACUCUGUGCCAGCCGCCGCCGUAAAAC
rnacentral:rRNA from 1 species